rnacentral:rRNA from 1 species
UACGGAGGGUGCAAACGUUGCUCGGAAUCAUUGGGCGUAAAGCGACCGCAGGCGGCCUGACAAGUCGGAUGUGAAAGCCCUGGGCUCAACUCAGGAAUUGCAUUCGAAACUGGCAGGCUCGAGUACGGGAGAGGGGGGUGGAAUUCCUGGUGUAGGGGUGAAAUUCGUUGAUAUCAGGAGGAACACCGGCGGCGAAGGCGGCCCCCUGGCCCGCAACUGACGCUCAUGGUCGAAAGCGUGGGGAGCAAACAGG